UGCCAGCAGCCGCGGUAAUACGGAAGGUCCAAGCGUUGUUCGGAAUUACUGGGCGUAAAGCGCACGUAGGCGGAUUAGUAAGUUAGAGGUGAAAUCCCAGGGCUCAACCCUGGAACUGCCUUUAAUACUGCUAGUCUUGAGUUCGAGAGAGGUAAGUGGAAUUCCAAGUGUAGAGGUGAAAUUCGUAGAUAUUUGGAGGAACACCAGUGGCGAAGGCGGCUUACUGGCUCGAUACUGACGCUGAGGUGCGAAAGUGUGGGGAGCAAACAGGAUUAGAUA
rnacentral:rRNA from 1 species